rnacentral:rRNA from 1 species
CAGCCGCCGCGGUAAUACCGGCGGCCCGAGUGGCGGUCACUAUUAUUGGGCUUAAAGCGUCCGUAGCCGGGUUGGGAAGUCCUCCGGGAAAUCUGGCCGCUUAAAGGUCAGAAUGCCGGAGGAUACUCCCAGCCUAGGGAGCGGGAGAGGCCGAGGGUAUUCCCGGGGUAGGGGUGAAAUCCUAUAAUCCCGGGAGGACCACCGGUGGCGAAGGCGCUCGGCUGGAACGCGUCCGACGGUGAGGGACGAAGGCCAGGGGAGCAAACCGGAUUAGAUACCCGGGUAGUCCUGGCUGUAAACGAUGCGGACUUUGUGUCGGACAAGCUAUGAGCUUGUCCGGUGCCGGAGGGAAACCGUUAAGUCCGCCGCCUGGGGAGUACGGCCGCAAGGCUGAAACUUAAAGGAAUUGGCGGG